UCGGGGGUGGUGUAAUUGGCAGCACGACAGGUUUUGGUCCUGCAAGUUGGGGUUCGAGUCCCUGCCCCCGAG
rnacentral:tRNA from 2 species